rnacentral:misc_RNA from 1 species
AAAACACCGAGACAUUAGGUUGAACCCUCAUGAAGCAAGACUAAUUAGACUACUUAUACCAUUCUCAAAUGUGAUUUUUUUUUUAUAAAAAUAUUCAUUAUUUUUUUCAAAUGGUCUGAUGAUGUAUUUCUCGGCAGAAGUGGUAAUUUGACUCUGAUUGCUCAAUUAAAGAUUAAAGUUACAUAUAUUAUAUAGACAAGUCUAUGUUGGAGAGCUAGAGUGGAG